CUACGGGCCGCACCAGUAAGGAAUAUUGCGCAAUGGAGGCAACUCUGACGCAGCCAUGCCGCGUGCAGGAAGAAGGCCUUAUGGGUCGUAAACUGCUUUUAUUUAGGAAUAAACCCCCGAACGUGUUCGGGGCUGAAGGUACUAAACGAAUAAGCACCGGCUAACUCCGUGCCAGCAGCCGCGGUAAUACGGAGGGUGCAAGCGUUAUCCGGAUUUAUUGGGUUUAAAGGGUGCGCAGGCGGGCUGUUAAGUCAGUGGUGAAAUCCCGGGGCUCAACUCCGGAACUGCCAUUGAUACUGAUAGUCUUGAGUUUGGUUGAAGUGGGCGGAAUGUAGCGUGUAGCGGUGAAAUGCAUAGAUAUGCUACAGAACACCAAUCGCGAAGGCAGCUCACUAAGCCAAAACUGACGCUCAUGCACGAAAGCGUGGGGAUCAAACAGGAUUAGAUACCCCGGUAGUC
rnacentral:rRNA from 1 species